rnacentral:rRNA from 1 species
AUUGAACGCUGGCGGCAGGCCUAACACAUGCAAGUCGAACGCGUGGCGGACGGGUGAGUAAUGCCUGGGAAUCUGCCUUAGGGAGGGGGAUCACUACGGGACACUGUCGCUAAUACCGCAUACCAGCGGAUGAGCCCAAGUGGGAGUAGGUAGUUUGUAGGGUAACGGCACACCAAGGCGACGAUCUCUAGCUGGUCUGAGAGGAUGACAAGCAACACUGGGACGGAGACACGGCCCAGACGCCGACGGGAGGCAGCAGGGGGGAAUAGGGAACAAUGGGAGCAACCCUGAUGCAGCCAUGCCGCGUGAAUGAAGAAGGCCUUCGGGUUGUAAAGUACUUUCAGUGGGGAGGCGUUACCGACAGAAGAAGCACCGGCUAACUCCGUGCCAGCCGCCGCGGUAAUUC